rnacentral:lncRNA from 1 species
CAAGAAGAAGACGACGCAACCGCAACCAGAGGAGGCAAAUCAUCAAGGACGGAUGGGAAGACUACGAAGGAGAAGUGGUAAGGUCUGAAGACAUACAACUUGAACAGAACUGUCCUGAGGAGACCGUAGCACCGAGUCAGGUGUGGAGAGAGAAGACAGUUAUACACGAAGAAGAAGCGCCGCCGGAACCACUGACUAUGCCAUCCAGCAAAUCCCAGGACGACUGAGAAAACGGAGAGUCCCGUUCGGAGGACUUAAAAACACCGAACGCCUUGCCAGGAGUUCCACAAAGCUUUGUUGUCUAUUUGAGCUCCACAGAAUUCAAGGAUCAAAAGAAGACUAGCAGACGGAGGACAUCCUAAUCGCUGUCAGGGUGCUGCCAACUUUCCAAAAACACCUCCACCACCUGCUAGCUACAUCAGAAGAAAUUACGUCAAAAUCAAGCUUGGGGGAGAGCACCCCCAUUUAUCCAGAUAAGUGUUUCUACUCGCAUUUAUACUCUACUCAAAUAAUAAAAAGAUGCAUAAUCAUGAAACCCAAAUAAAAUUUUUUGCUUAUAUCUUUGCUUAGUUUGCUAAAUAAAUAAAUAAAUAAAGUGUCUAGGCUAAACUGAACUUAAAUGAUAAACUCUUACAUGCAUAUAAUAAAUAGUUGCUCUGCCAUAUACCUCGUUCUCAAAAUUGAAAUCUCUCUCAAGUUUAGGCAUGACUGAUAUGAAUUAAGAUUUGCUCUAAACCUGAACUUGUGGGAAGAGUACUUGAUCUAAAGUCUAAGUCGUUAACGGAUAUGAUAUAGGAAGGUUGAGCUGCUGUUUAUCUGUUCCUAGAGAUGCUAGAAUUCUGGAGAAUUUUAUCUUUAAAAAUAUUUAAAAUAACACAUGAUGAGUUCCUGUAUGAUGAGAGUUUAAAUUCCUACCACAGCCAUUUAUACAUGCUUGCUAGACUUUGAGCCACACAUUUACUUUUUACUCCUUAUGAGCAUUGAGUGUGGUCAAGCUGUGUAGACCCUUAGGAGCUUGUCAUGUGGUUAAAUCAAGAUUCACUUGCAUGUUCAAUCACACAUGCUGCUUCUACUCCGGAAGUACGCAUCCAGAGCCACCCAAAAGUAUUCUACUCCUAAUCCGGGAGAGAAUAGCCAAAAACAUUUCCGUUUUUCUUGUGAAAUAAAUGCUCGAGUUAUCUUGGUUACUACCACUUGCUAUAUUAUUUUAGGAGAUGAGUGCUCUAAAUAUAUAUAUAUAUAUAUAUAUAUAUAUAUAUAUAUAUAUAUAUAUAUAUAUAUAUAUACGAGGAAAUAAAAAGAGGCAAGUGCCCGGAACCUCAAAGAAAAGAAAAAGUGAGACGAGAGGUAAAAAUGGACAAGUGUCUGACAGUAGAAUUAGGGGUACAAGAUACCCACCUGAGAAGAAAAAGAAAAUAUAGAGCAUCUCAUUCUCCUCAAAAAACUUCAAAGUGCAAGAAAGGUAUGUAUCCCCUCAAAAGAGCAAAAGAAUUAGAUUUUCACCAUUGUUAUCACCAUCAUCAUCAUACACCAUUGACUCGCCACACAUGCACAUCUUGAUUUGACUUAUUGACUUGUUUCUCUGGAUCCAUGGUUUGACUAUGCAAUAAAUGUCUUGUAAGUAUGUAUUAGCUGUCUCCCACCUAUGAGCUCCAAAUAUCAAAACCUUAUUAGAGUAGGGUGAGAGAGAAGGCAAUAUCACUAUGCAUUAUACCAAAAAUACCACAUACUUUGAGAGAAGGCAUAUACCAUUACUGCCUUGGUAAGGAUCUAGAAAUACCACAAAAGAGAGAUUUGAGAGAAUCAUAUAAGGAAUCUCUGAGUUUUAUUUGAAAAUCUGCAAAAACUCCAGAGCUAUAGCUGAUCAAGAAUAAGAGACAUGGUGCUUGACUUGACUGUUCUAUCUUUUAACUGCUCAAGACACAAGUGACGGUUACAAGCCCCAUGGUGAAAGGUAAAAUGAGUAAGUUUUAAGUCUUAACAGUUUAUUCUAACUCAGAGAUGGGAUCUUGCUUGAAUGUGUGUGUACUUUUGAGGCAUGAAACCACUGCAGAAACUCUUGAGUUCAUCCUUGCUCAGGGACGAGCAAGAGGUAAGCUUGGGGGAGUUGUUGAUGGUCCUUAAGUACCAAAUAUAAUCAUCAAAUAAAUAAAGAAAAGGAUCCAAAUGCAACCAACUCCCAGACUUAGGGUUUUAUCUGACAGAAUUCCACGAGUUUUGGUGUUUGUCUAUUUCUGCAGGGGGUUAUCAGGAAAUACGGAGGAAAGGCCCACAUGUCGAGAUUACAUAGAGAUAUCAACGCACCGCGCAAUUAUCUUACAUCUAGAAGACUCCAGAAGCCACGGGAAGGAAGCGGAGGCCGAACGGGGCCAAGCGCUGGGCGCCCGCCCAGUUGACCUGGGCGCCCGCCCUAACUUGGAGUUGGAUGAGGACUCUUUUCGCGGACGAUGUUCCACCGACCUAAAGGUUCAAGGAUAACCGUCCAAUCAAUGUCGUUUUGAUCCAAUGGCUCAUGUUCACUUGAGGGGACUAUAAAACCAGACCCCCUGGCCCCUGGAGGAGACAAGUUUUUCAUAGAGUUGAGAGGAGCCCUCGAAGGAAUACCUCUCCUCUAAAUAAAAUUUAUUUUAGGCUUAGCAUCCAAUGUGAGUAGAAUUAGAUCUUCUAGUUUCUACUAGAUUGAGAGAGAUAGAGUGGAGGUGUAGAUCGGAGGAAGCCCGGCCUGUUGGUGUCUACUCCGAGGUUGUACCUACGGGAUCAAGUCUUCUAACCCGAGGCUUGCUCCUAAGAUUCUUCAGUAAUUCGACUUCUAAUUCUAGUAAGUUCUUGUUUUAUUGUUCUUUGGUUUAUGAGUUUACUUUAAUCCUCUUCCGGUUGAGUAUUAGAGUAAUCAUUGCUAGUGUAAACGUGGUGUUUAGGCUAGGGUACUUAUAGAUAUCCCCUGACUAGCUGGACCGUGGUAGUAGCGAGGAACGUGACAUUUUCGAGUUACCUUUGUAUCCCACAUCUCGUUAGCAGGAAGGGUAGGGUUUAUAGGUGCCGGUCAAACAUCCAUUGUGGUGUCUAGAUUCCGUAAGCUUCCCCAAUAGAACAGUAGAUCAUCCUUACCAAGGUUAGAUUGAGACUACGGUUGCAGUCUUCUCUAUACAUCACUCACAUCGAGAAACAUUCUUUGUAGCCUAAAGGGGUAGUAGCAAUAGAUUUGGUUAGUCAGAUGCACCUUUUCUCCCAGUGGUAAAAAUAUAAAUAUGAUAACUCUGGAAAACCUCCCGGGUGAAAUGCUCACCGAUAUCCGUGCGCUUGCGGAUCAUUUCCUUAUUGCGUUACCAAAUAUCGAUAGCUGGCAUGCCUUAAAGUUUGAAUCGGGUAUUAGCCCUUUGUGUUUGCAGAUCCGCUUUUGCACCAACAGACGGAUUCCAUGUUUUGAUAGAUAUUGCUUGAAGCGCUUGUCGUUGAAGUGUGCUCCUCCAUCACUUAUCACUACUCUGGGAACUCCAAAUCUUGGAAAUAUAACUUCUUCAAACAUCCUCUUUGAACUGAUGUUGUCGGCAUGCUUGCAAGGUAAUGCCUCUACCCACUUGGAGACGUAGUCAACUGCCACCAAGAUGAACUCACACUUCUUUGAUGGGGGAAAUGGACCCAUGUAGUAUAUUCCCCAGACAUCAAAGAGCUCAAUCUGAAGGUUGUUGGUGAGUGGCAUGGCAUCCCUCGUGUUUAUGUUUCUGUGCCUUUGACAUGGCCCACAUCUUCUGAUAUAUUGCUUCGUGUCUUCAUACAUUGUAGGCUAGUAGAAUCCACACUGCCAGAUCUUUGAAUGUGUACGGAAUGCUCCAUAAUGACCUCAAUAUGGUGAUGAAUGACAUCUGUUGAUGAUCUUCGAUCCUUCCUCAGUGGUCACACACCUUCUGAGUAAGCCAUCAAAGCAUACUCGGAAGGGGUAUGGCUCAUCCCAUAUAUGUGAACGACUUUGUUGAAUAAGCUUCUUCUUGUUUGCUCCUAGUGGUACAUUCUCUGAAACCAUAAAAUUAACAAUAUCUGCAUACCAUGAGUCAGACCUGUUAAUCCCGUAGAGCAUGUCAUCCCGGAGUGAAUCAUUGAUGGGGGUUUCAUGUGGACUCUUAAAAUACAUUCUAGACAAGUGAUCAGCAACAGAAUUUUCUAUUCCCAUUUUAUCUCUUAUUUCUAAGUCAAAUUCUGGAAGUAAUAAGAUCCAUCUAAUCAGGCGAGGUUUAGCAUCUUUUUUAGUGAGCAAAUAUUUUAGUGCAGCAUGAUCAGUGUAAACAAUUAUUUUAGCUCCAACUAAAUAAGAUCUAAAUUUAUCAAUGGCAAAGACAACAGCCAGAAGCUCUUUUUCAGUGGUUGCAUAAUUAAGUUGAGCUCCUGUCAAAGUUUUACUGGCAUAAGCAAUUGCAUGAUGCUUCUUAUUUUUAGUUUGUCCUAAAACUUCCCCCACAACAUAAUCACUAGCAUCACACAUAAUUUCAAAAGGCAACGACCAAUCAGGGGGUUGAAUGAUUGGUGCAGAGACGAGUGCUUUGUUUUAUAAAUUGAAAGAUGUUAGACAUGCAUCAUCAAAUUCGAAAGAAGCAUCCUUGGCUAGCAAAAGAGUAAGUGGUCUAGCAAUGGAUGUAAAAUCUUUUAUGAAUCUGUGAUAAAAACCAGUAUGGCCAAGAAAGCUUCGAAUUCCUUAUAUAUUCACAGGUGGAGGUAGUUGUUCAAUUACUUCAAUUUUAGCUCUGUCUACCUCAAUACCUCUUUCAGACACUAGGUGUCCCAGCAUUGUUCCUUCUCUAACCAUAAAAUAACAUUUUUCCCAAUUAAGGACUAAGUGCUUUUCUUCACAUCUUUGCAAAACCUUGUCUAAAUUUUCAAGACAACUAUCAAAAGUUUUUCCAUAAAAAGAGAAAUCAUCCAUGAAAACUUCCAUAAUCUCUUCAAUCAUAUCAGAAAAUAUAGACAUCAUGCAUCUUUGAAAAGAAGCUGGUGCAUUACAUAGCCCAAAAGACAUUCUACGGUAAGCAUAAGUUCCGUAUGGGCAUGUAAAAGUGGUUUUGCUUUGAUCAUCAGGAUGGAUCGGAAUCUGGUGAUACCCUGAAUAUCCAUCUAAGAAACAGAAGAACGAAUGGUUCGCUAAUCGCUCUAGCAUCUCAUCUAUGAAAGGUAAAGGAAAAUGAUCCUUUCUCAUGGCUUUGUUUAGUUUCCUAUAGUCUAUGCACAUCCGCCACCAUGUGACGGUGCGUUGUGGAAUUAGCUCGUUCUUUUCAUUCAUAAUGACAGUCAUGCCUCCCUUUUUAGGCACAACUUGAACUGGGCUUACCCACUCACUGUGCGGCACAGGAUAUAUAAUCCCUGCAUGCAGCAACUUUAUAACUUCCUUUUUAACUACCUCUCUCAUCGCGUUGUUACAUCUACGUUGGGGCUCUCGAGAAGGUGAAACAGAAGGAUCUGUUGGAAUACGAUGGGUGCAAAUCAUAGGACUGAUUAAUGUAAGAUCUUUGAGUGAGUAGCCAAAAACUGAGUGAUGUUCCUCAAGAAUGGUCAUCAAUCGCAGAGUUUGCUCCUGAGUGAGUUUAUCACUAAUGAUCACAGGAAACUCUGGAUUAUUGUUUAGGAAAGCAUAGAUAAGACCGGGUGGUAAAGUUUUAAGCUCUAUGGGAGGUCUAGGCGUUUCUGCAAACUCAUCUAAGGGUUCAGGUUCAGAAGGUUCAGCUUCUUCUUCUAUGAAGAAAGGAGCUUCUUCUUCUAAGUCUGGUUCAUCUAAAAGCUCUAGAGAUGCAGCCUUUACCUCCUCCAUAGGAUCAGGCAAAAGAUAUGACUCGGCCUUAUUAUUUAAGGAGUGUGAAAUUGUUAUGGGAAAUUUAAAAGUUUUUCCAAAAGAAAUAUGUAGCUUUCCAGUAUGACCUUCAUAAAGGAGUCUUCUAAAAGGUUGUCCUAUCAAUAGGUCGAAGUCUCAUGUAUCAAAGAUAUAAAAGUUCAAAUGAACCAUGGAGCCUUCUACCAAUAAAGGUAGGACAUUAAUAAUUCCAAGACUGGGAACUAAUCGUCCCGAAGAUUCCUUUAUGACUUUUGUUGUGGGGGUUAAAACCAAAUUUUUAAAUAGUUUAAGUGCAAAAGAUUCAGACAUGAUGUUGAUCCCCACAACAGGAUUAUAGAGAGCAUCAAAUUGAUCAGAAUCAUAAGCACAGCGUAUAGUUAUAGAGGGUGUGUCCAAACGGAUCACAUCAGAGGAAAGCUCUGACUCCUCCAACCACUCGCUACUCAUGACUAAGAUAAGCUCUCUCAAUUGAUGUUAAGUUGGCAAACAAAUGCUAAAAUGGCCGUUUUGGGGUCUAUUAAUAGAAUGGUAGUUAAAAAGGAAGUUAUAAAAGAUCAGAUUCUAUAUCCAGCAUGAAAUCCGAUGGUGGAAUUUCUUCCUUUUGUGGCUCAGAACUUGGGAUAGCUAAAGUAGAUGGAGAAUUCGGCAGAGUGUCUAUUUCGGCUUCGUGGGUUUCAUCAUGAAGGGUAUUAUCCAUCUCAGCUUCUAGGAUUCUAUCUAGGAUCACUCUAGCAUCAUCAGUAGGGAUGCGGAAGAAAGAACCUCUAGACAUUGUAUGUAGCAUUUGUUUAUGAUCUUUCUGAAGACCUCGAAAAAAGUGAAAUAAAAGAACAGGGUCUUCAAGAUUAAGGUUUGGACUAGAUUCUAAAAGAUCAAAAAAACGUUUCCAGGAUUUUCCCAAAGUUUCAUUAUCUUUUUGUUUAAAAGAUAGGACUUUGAGUCUAAGGUCACCGAUACGGUCGAGGGAAUAAAAAUCUAGACAAAAGUUGGCUCGUAAAACUCCCCAUUCACCUCGUUGUUGACUUAACUUAUAACUGUACCAUUGUCUAGCUUCUCCCCUUAAAGAAAAAGGAAAAAGCUUCCAACGUAAAGUUUUAUCAGAAAUGCCUUCAAUGCAAAGACAAUCACAUGUUUGCUCAAAAUCUCUAAUAUGCAGGUAAGGGUUUUCGUCUUCCUUUCCUGAAAAAGAUAGGUUUUGAAUCAUGGCAAUCAACCUAGAACUUAACCUAUACUGGGAUGUUUGGAUAGGCUGUGAUGACUCCCAUGGUAAAAGGUCAGUUACCGAAGGUGUUGCAAAUUGGUAAAUUGAUUUAGAAUCUUGGUUUUCCAUAAGGUAAGAAUAAAUAAAAUAAAUAAAUAAUAUAAAAGAUAAGAAAAGAUAGAAGUAUAGAUACAAGCUAGUAGUAAGUGUUGGGUAUUCUUAACAUUACUACCAAAAGUAGACUUAGUUUUCUAAUUCUGAUAACGGUGCUAAAAAUGCCAAACCUAUCCCUCAUACCACUUAAGCCAAGUUGUCAUCCCCAGCAUGGCAUGAGAGACGCGGUAUUAAAAUAUGCAAUUGCUCAUCUAAAUAAAUAAUGAAUGGGAUCUGCAAGCGCACAGAUUAAUACCGAUGUAGCAUUUUAACCGGGAAGUAUUCCAGGUAUCGUUAUUUAUAUUUUUACCACUGGGAAGGGAUUAGCAAUCAUCAAUAUUGAUUAUAGAAUGGAAUAUGAGGUUGAGUAUCUAUCAUUGCAUGUAUAAUUGAGAAUAGUUAUCUAACUCUUUCAUACAGGGUAAGUGUCACAUAAAGGAUAUAAAGUAAUGAAUAGUGACAAAGAUAAUUAAUCUGAUCAGCAUAACUUAGCCACAUAAUAAAUAUAAUAAGCACCUCAAUUAGAUAUUCUAGCAAGUCAUUAGCAUGGAAUUAGAAUGAACUACAAGAAUAUUUCCUAAGUUAUUCUUAACUAUACAGUCUAGCAUUAUCAUAGUUAGUGCAAGUAUACUUAGCAAUCAUUGUGAGACAAGACUACGCCCAUGCAUAAUCAUAUUAGCAAGGAACAUGAGAAACAUCGUAAUCACUCCCCUGUAAUAAUGUUGCUCUGCCAGCCCAAUACACGAGAGGGGAACUAUAUAAGAAUCAAUGAAGCUAUCACUAUCACGAACUACCCCGCGAUCUGGCAUAUUGGGUACAAUCGUAGAUAAAUACGGUAUCAGCACCACGCCUACACAAUAUCUAUCAUUUACCCAUGGAUCCGAUGGAUAAACGCUAUACGAUCCUAAACAUGUAUAUAGAUCCAAUCUAACUAAGCCAAGUAUAUAACUAUGAUAGACUAAGAACAAUAUAAUCUUGAAUAUAAACAAGUAGAGCAAAGUCAUAAGCAAUAUAUUAAAGUAGAACAAAGUCAUAUUCAUAAUAUUGAAGAACAAGAUGAACAAUUAGAAGAACAAUUAGAGAAUUACCAAGAAUCCUCUUGACAGAUCCGGAAACCAAUCGAAGAUUGACUCCUUCUAGUUCUAAUCCUAUGUAGCUAUGCUAAUCUAGAUGUCUAAUUGAUGUGGUGGCUCCAGGCUUGAUCAGAGGAUUCUUCUCCCUUGAGGAAUAAUGAAUUAGGGUUGAGAGGCUCUCUCCUCCAGGGGCCUGGGGGUCUAGUUUUAUAGUCCCUUUAAGUGAAUAUGGGCCAUUGGAUCAAACUGACAUAGAUUGAACGAUUAUCCUUGAUCCUUUAGGUCAGUGGAGAUCGUUCCCGAAAGAGAGUCCUGAUUGGACUCCAGAGGUGGGCGGGCGCCCAGGGCCAGGCCCCGUUCGGCCUCCGCUUCCUUCCCGUGGCUUCUGGAGUCUUCUAGAUGUAAGAUAAUUGUGUGGCACGUUAAGAUCUCUGUGUAAUCCUGACGUGUGGGCCUUUCUUCCGUAUUUCCUAAUAACCCCCUACAGAAAUAGACAAACACCAAAACUCGUGGAAUUCUGUCAGAUAAAACCCUAAGUCUGGAUGUUGAUUUCAUUUGGAUCCUUUUCUUUAUUUAUUUGAUGAUUAAAUUUGAUACUUAAGGACCGUCAACAAACUCCCCCAAGCUUACCUCUUGCUCGUCCCUGAGCAAGGAUAGACUCAGAGAUGGAUCAGAAGUUGUUUCAAUAUCUUUAAAAAUUGACGGUACACAAGCUUUUAAAUAAGAUCUCAUCUCUGAGUUAGAGUAAACUUUCAAGACUUAAAACUUACUUGCUUUACCUUUCACCAUGGGACUUGUAACCGUUUCUUCUGUCUUGAGUAGUUAUUAAAAGAUAGAACGGUCUAGUCAAGUGCCAUGUCUCUUAUUCUUGAUCAGCUAUAGCUCUGCAGUUUUUUGCAUAUUUUCAAAUAAAACUCAGAGAUUCCUUGUAUGACUCUCUUAGAUCUCUCUUUUGUGGUAUUUCUAGAUCCUUACCAAGGCAGUGAUGGUAUAUGCCUUCUCUCAAAAUAUGUGGUAUUUAUGAUAUGAAGCAUAGUGACAUUGCCUUCUCUCUCACCCUACUCUAAUAAGACUUUAAUAUCUGGAGCUCAUAGAUGGGAGAUAAAAUAUACAUACUUACAAGACAUUUAUUGUAUAGUCAAACCAUGGAUCCACAGAAACAAGUCAAUAAAUCAAAUCAAGAUGUGCAUGUGUGGCGAAUGAUUGGUGUAUAGUGAUGAUGGUAAUAACAAUGGUGAAAGUCUAAAUCUUUUGCUCUUUGAGGGGAUACAUACCUUUAUUGCUUUUUGAAAUUUUUGGAGGAGAAUGAGAUGCUCUAUCUUUUCUUUUUCUUUUCUCUCAGGUGGGUAUCUUGUACCCCUAUUUCUACUGUCGGACACUUGUCCGUUUUUGCCUCUCGUCUCACUUUUUCUUUUAUUUCUUUCGAGGUUCCGGGCACUUGCCCCUUUUUAUUUCCUCGUAUAUUUUUUUUCUUUUUUUAGAGCACUCAUCUCCUGAAAUAAUAUAGCAAGUGGUAGUAGCAAGAUAACUUGAGCAUUUAUUUCACAGGGGAAAAAUAGAAAUGUUUUUGGCUAUUCUCUCCUAGAUUAGGAGUAGAAUAUUUUUGGGUGGUUCUGGAGAUGGAAAUGAGUAGAUAUAUGUGGAUGGUACUUCUAGAGUAGAAGAAGCAUGUGUGAGUGAACGUGUAAGUGAAUCUUGAUUUAACCACAUGACAAGCUCCUAAAGGUCUACACAGCUUGACCACACUCAAUGCUCAUAAGCAGUAAAAAGUAAAUGUUUUGCUCAAAGUCUAGCAAGCAUGUAUAUAUGUCUGUGGUAGGAAUUUAAACUCUCAUCAUACAGAAACUCAUCAUGCAAUAUUUUAAAGAUUUUCCAAGAUAAAAUUCUCCAUAAUUCUAGCAUCUCUAUGAACAGAUGAACAGCAGCUCAACCUUCCCAUAUCAUAUCUGUUAACAACUUAGACUUCAGAUCAAGUUUUCUUCCCACAAGUUUAGGUUUAGAGCAAGCUUUAAAUUAUAACAGUUAUGUCUAAACUUGAGAGAGAACUUUAAUUUUUAAAAAUUAGGCAGAGCAACUCUUCAUCAUAUCCAUGCUAGAGUUUUAUUAUUAAGAUUCAGAUUAGCAUAGCCACUUUAUUUAUUUUUUAAGCAUACUAAGCAAAAGACAUAUAUAUAUAUAAGCACAAAAUCUUUAUUUGGUUUUCAUAGUUAUGUAUAUCUAUAUUUUAAUAUAGUAUAAGUAUAAAGAUAGAUAGAAAUACUUAGCGGGUUAAAUGGGGCUGCUCUCCCCCAAGCUGAAUUUUGACGUAAUUUCCCUUGAUAUAGCUAGCAGGUGGCAGAGGUGUAUUUGAAAGUCGGCAGUAUCUUGAUAGCGAUUAGAAUGUCCUCCGUCUGCUAGUCUUCUUGAUUCUUAAAUUCUGUGGAUUCUGUGGAGCUCAAAUAGACAACAAAGCUUUGUGGAACUGAUUAGGUGUUAGCAUAAAUAUCUAGCCUUUAUCAUGUUGAGACUCCUUAAUAAAUAUUACUCUCUAUUUUUUAUUUUCAUUUUAUAGAGCAGAAAAAUAUUUAUUUUAUUUUUAUGCCACCACAGUGAAUGUACUUAUGGGUUUUAUGCCACUCGUAUACUCACAUGGGGCUUACUGGUUUUAACAUUUUUAUUUUGUUUUUAGAAUAGUAUGAACAUGAUUAACUAAGUAAACUAUUUUAAAUAAUUGAAAAGGAAAGGAUAACUAGCAAGUUUACCUCUCGGCAAGGCGUUCGGUGUUUUUAAGUCCUCUGAAUGAGACUCUCCGUUUUCAAGUUGUCCUGGGAUUCGUUGGGUGGCGGAGUCGGUACUUCUGGCGGCGUCUCCUCUUCAUGUAUAGUUAUCUUCUCUUUCCAUACAUGACUCGGUGCUACGGUCUCCUCUGGAUAAUUCUGUUUAAACUGUAUGUCUUCUGACCUUAUCACUUCUCCUUCGUAGUCUGCCCAUCCAUCCUUGAUGAUCUGCCUCCUCUGGUUGCGGUUGCGUCGUUUUCUGACCUGCUUAGAGUCUUCAACGAUAUAGUUAGGGUCAGUAAAAUAGUGGCGUACCCUUCUCUGAGGGGAAGUGCAUAUNNNNNNNNNNNNNNNNNNNNNNNNNNNNNNNNNNNNNNNNNNNNNNNNNNNNNNNNNNNNNNNNNNNNNNNNNNNNNNNNNNNNNNNNNNNNNNNNNNNNNNNNNNNNNNNNNNNNNNNNNNNNNNNNNNNNNNNNNNNNNNNNNNNNNNNNNNNNNNNNNNNNNNNNNNNNNNNNNNNNNNNNNNNNNNNNNNNNNNNNNNNNNNNNNNNNNNNNNNNNNNNNNNNNNNNNNNNNNNNNNNNNNNNNNNNNNNNNNNNNNNNNNNNNNNNNNNNNNNNNNNNNNNNNNNNNNNNNNNNNNNNNNNNNNNNNNNNNNNNNNNNNNNNNNNNNNNNNNNNNNNNNNNNCUAACUACUCAGGUAAUUAUCAAGGUAACAAUUCUUACAACAAUAAUAAUAAUUUUCCACCUCUGAGAGAGUUAGUGUCCAAUCAAGGAAAGCUAAUGGAUAACCUAUCUAAGAAAUUGGCAUCUAAUGAUAAAAUGCUAUAAAAUAUAAAUAAUAGAAUGGAUAAUUUCUCUACUGCCAUCAAGAAUCAAAUUAGCUUUAAUAAAAUGAUUAAAUCUCAGUUAAAUCAAAUAGCUUCUGCUGUUCCUGCUACUAACCCAGGUAUACCAUCACAACCGGACGGAUUAGAAUCUGCAAAUCUUGUAGACAUGUUUGAUGCAGGUAAUUGGAGUAACCCCGUCACUGAAGUUACUACUAACCUUCUGCCGGUCAAGAGAGGCGAUCCAGGACGCCCCGUCAUCCCGAUCUCCAUCGGCAUGGUGGACUUCCUAGAAGCACUCUGCGACUUUGGCUAUAGUGUCAACAUUAUGCCCAGGGUACUCUAUGAAAAAUUCUUUACAUAUCCUCUAUCUGAAACAACCAUGUGUUUGCAGUUUGUUUUCCGAAGGGAAUAUUGAAGAACCUUUGUGUCCGAGUUGGUACCUUGCAUGCCCUAGCAGAUUUCGUGGAAAUAGAGAUCGGUAAUGAUGAGGGGCACCCAUCAUCCUAGGGAGGCCAUUCUUAAACACAUCGGGAGCUGUCAUCUACGCAAGUCCUGCCAAGAUUAGUUUCUACAUCAAAGGGAAGAAGGAGACAUUUUCCUUCAAGAACAAGACUACACAAAUCCUAGAUGAAUCUCGACAUGAAUCAAGGAAGAGGACCAACAGGAGGAACAGGAACAAGCAAGUGUGGACCGAGUCAGCUAAGAUGGUCACUGCAGUUCAUGGAGGCCAAGAUCAUCAACUUAAGUCACCAUUUCUGACCAAGAAGGAUGACCCAGGAAUGCCAAGCAUCUAUUGCUCCAUAAAUGGAUACAACUUCUACAAGACGACUUGUGACACCGGAUCGAGCGUCAACAUAAUGGCUGCAGUCACCUAUCGACUCUUGUUCGGAACCAUGCCCCUAAAACCAACAUACAUUCAACUCCAGAUGGCAGAUCAGACAUUUCGAGAAGUUAAAGGAAUAGUAACUGAUGUCCCUGUCAAAAUAGACGAUCAUUUUGUCUACACAGACUUUCAAGUUAUUGACAUGGGAGAAGACGAACACGAUCCACCCAUCAUCCUUGGAAGACCGUUCCUCAGCACCGUUAAAGCAAUUAUCUACAUUGGAACUGGAGAAGUCCAUAUGCACUUCCCCUCAGAGAAGGUACGCCACUAUUUUACUGACCCUAACUAUAUCGUUGAAGACUCUAAGCAGGUCAGAAAACGACGCAACCGCAACCAGAUGAGGGAAAUCAUCAAGGAUGGAUGGGCAUACUACGAAGGAGAAGUGAUAAGGUCAGAAGACGUAGAGUUUAAACAGAAUUAUCCUGAGAAGACUGUAGCACCGAGUCAGGUAUGGAAAGAGAAGAUAAUUAUACAUGAAGAGGAGGCGCUGCCGGAAGUACCGACUCCGCCACCCAACGAAUCCCAGGACAAUUGAGAAAACGGAGUCCCGUUCGGAGGACUUAAAAACACCGAACGCCUUGCCAAGAGGUAAACUUGGUAGUUAUCCUUUCCCUUUCAAUUAUUUAAAAAUAGUUUACUUAUUUAAUCAUGUUCGUGCUAUCCUAAAAAGAAAAUAAAAAUGUAAAAAACAGUAAGCCCCAUGUGAGUAGACGAGUGGCAUAAAACCCAUAAGUACAUUCAUUGUGGUGGCAUAAAAAUAAAAUAAAAAUUUCUUUUCUGCUUUAUAAAAUGAAAAUAUAAAAUAGGGAGUAACAUUUAUUAAGGAGUCUCAACAUGAUAAAGGCUGGAUAUUUAUGCUAACACUUAAUCAAGUUCCACAAGCUUUGUUGUCUAUUUGAGCUUCACAGAAUCUAAGAAUCAAGAAGACUAGC